GUUGUCAGGUUGUCACUUUGUCAGUAUGACGCGAGCUCUCGAAGAGUAAAAAUAUCACGAAAAAUGGGUAAAUGCGCCGUACUUUAUUGCAAAAAUUAUUCCGGUCACACAAGAAAUGUUUCUUAUCACGCAUUUCCAGUGGAUCCAAAUAGAAGGAGAAAGUGGAUAGAGGCAGUCAGAAGACAAAAUACGUGGAUUCCAACUAAAAACCACUGCAUUUGUAACAUUCAUUUUGCGGAAGAAUGCUACAAUGCCAAUUCUACGAAACAGAGAAAACUGCACAAAGAUUCUAUACCUACAUUGAAUUUGCCUAAAUUUGUAAGUACAAUCAUUAUCAAAUUUUAUUAGAUAUUUUAUCUUAACAGUCAACUAAUUCACCAACAUAUCAGUAGACACAAAACAUUUAUGGUUCAAAUUGUGUAACUGGUAUGGCUCAAAAGAUAAGGAGACAUAUAAAGUGUCCUAAAGGGCUACCUUUUUUAAGAAUAUCAACAACAUUAGAUAAGAAUUAAAUAAUCUCAGAUAGUGCAUCUGUACUGCAAGCGCUACAAAGCAAUACAUUGUCAUAAUGUUAUCAAAUUGUGUUUUAUGAAAUGUAUAGAAAUAGGCUAUUGAUGAAACUUUUGUCCGUGACGUGAGACAGAUUAUAACAUUUGUUGAGACCAAAAGCUAGUUAGCAGUCGAUCGUAACAGAAUAUUACUUGUUUAUUGCUUUACGAAUUUGAUAAUGAUAACACAGCAAAAAAAUAUUUCACCUAGUUACCUACCUAUAUGAAUAAUUUGUAAUAUUAUUUGUACCUAUGAUUUACCAAUGGCACUAUAAUAAACACGAUACAAUAAUUAA